GAUGAACGCUGGCGGCGUGCCUAAUACAUGCAAGUCGAGCGAACGGACGAGAAGCUUGCUUCUCUGAUGUUAGCGGCGGACGGGUGAGUAACACGUGGAUAACCUACCUAUAAGACUGGGAUAACUUCGGGAAACCGUAGCUAAUACCGGAUAAUAUUUUGAACCGCAUGGUUCAAAAGUGAAAGACGGUCUUGCUGUCACUUAUAGAUGGAUCCGCGCUGCAUUAGCUAGUUGGUAAGGUAACGGCUUACCAAGGCAACGAUGCAUAGCCGACCUGAGAGGGUGAUAGGCCACCCUGGAACUGAGACACGGUCCAGACUCCUACGGGAGGCAGCAGUAGGGAAUCUGCCGCAAUGGGCGAAAGCCUGACGGAGCAACGCCGCGUGAGUGAUGAAGGUCUUGGGAUCGUAAAACUCUGUUAUUAGGGAAGAACAGAUGUGGCAGUAACUGUGCACAUCUUGACGGUACCUAAUCAGAAAGCCACGGCUAACUACGUG
rnacentral:rRNA from 1 species